UCGGCAUCGAGCUGCAUUAUAACGCUUCGGAUCGUGGCAGCUUGGUGGCGCCAUCUGUGGCCGCCAUUUGGGACAGUGUACAGCAAUCGUUCGAAUGUUGUGGCGUCUCCUCGUAUGAAGACUGGUAUGAUAUUCAGUCGUGGAGUGGCAAACGUUGGGUACCCGAGUCGUGUUGUCGGCCUUCGGAGGCGCGUAGCAUAUUGACCGAGGGUUCUGGAGACAGUUUUCUGCGAGUCGAUUGUGGGAAAUCCGAAAAUCCCAGCCUCUGGUGGAGUAGG